AUAGAAUCUAACUCUCAUGAUGGUCUGCAGAGGCUGGGAGGCUCAGCAGUGCCCUGCACAGGUCAGAAGUGGUGACUCAGGUAUGUAAGGGACCUGCCAAGUGUCUGCAGAAUCUGGUAUGUCUUCCCACAUCAUGGAGGUUGUGGGUCCUCUCCCUAAAACUGUGCAGAAGACCUGCACAUCACUGUCUGGAGGAUGUGAGGCUUGUUGCAAUAUUGUGUAAUCGACACCUCAACUGCCUGUUGUGCCCACAAUUGAAUCUUCCUCAACUUAUUUGUUAUUAUCUUUCCUUGAGUAAUUUAGGAGAUGCUUCAGUAUUUCAAAAUAUCUGGGGUUUUUUGGUUAUGGUUUUUAUCCUGUUCAUAUAACAGAUAGGAAUGCAUAUUCUGAACACGGAAAACCAUCUACACAGUAGAAGAAAAAGAUCAGCAAUCCAAGGAGGAAGUGCCCACAUUGUGAGUCACCAGCUCCUGGGAGAGAAAGCUAAUGAGCAUGUGGACACGUGCUAACUUGAGGACAGACAACAAAACAAAAUGUUUUAAUGAAAGAAUGUCCCUUGAUAGCUGGCGUAAUAAAUCUUUAGCAGAACCACAGUAACUUUCACCUUUGAGUCAGCAUGGAGACAGACUGCAAGUAUUUGAAUACUCCGAACCUGGGACUAGGAUUUCAAAAACAAGAUAUGGUCUGCCCUCGAGCUGCUCAGUCCCAUGGUGGGACAAUGUGCAAGUAGAGAUCCAUGACAGUGUGACAGUGCUGUCACAGGAGCACAUUUGUGUGCAGAGUAUCUCUGCUGUGGGGUGCGGGAUGCAUGACCAGGAGAUUCAGAGAGCCAGCCCUUGCCUGGGGCGAGGGAGGCUGAGGGCUUGGUGAGGGACCUGGGGUGGGCUGGACUGGCUGUCCCUACCAGUGGCCUUGGCCAGGUGGAGGGGAGUGUGCAGAGGUGGGAGAUGACCUCUGGGAGACGUGGCCCACUGUAGUGGGAGAGGACACGGAGACUGCAGAUGCCUUGCUAUAGCCUGUGCUGGAAGCUGUGAGUGAUGCUAAGAAGGAGCGGA
rnacentral:lncRNA from 1 species